UUCCGUCCCGCGCCAUUAGCUCGAUAUAAUGCGGGUAUAGUUUAGUGGUAAAACCACAGCCUUCCAAGCUGU
rnacentral:tRNA from 1 species